AUUAGGGUGGGUCAGAAAAGCAAAAAGUUGAGCUAGAUCGGAUAGGCGGGCAGAAAACCAAAGUUUAACACCCACAGAAGCUCUCCUGAAAAUUUCAGCCAAAUCGGUUAAGAAUUCGAGGUGCCCAUUCGAUUUCAAAUUUGUAUUGGAUUUUGGACCCGUUAGUAUGGGAAAACGGCACUUUUUACAUUUUAUUCCCCUAAAAAUCCAAAAUUGAAGCAAAUUAAAUUCUGUGCGAGGUACUUAUAGAUUUUUAUAUGGGGAACAACUUUGUAGAACAUCGCGAAGCGAUCUGAGCAGAUCUGGCUUAGUUAUGAGUGGUUUAAGCUAAGUUGAUUUUCCAGGGUCUUAUCUCGAACCAAAGUAUAGUCUUUUUAUCUAGACGGUCACUAUGAUCAGGCAAAAUAAACUGUCUGACAGAUGACGAACUUGUUUUCAUUUGUUGGCGGAACUUUAUGAAUUCGAGUGGAAGUUGAGACAUUGUUGCCUCCGAGCUCACGGGAACAGAACCACUAUAAGACAGAGUGCCAAUUUUAGAGCGGGUUGGCAGAGAUUAGCCAAGACGGACGGUUUGCAAAUGCCGGUGGGGAGCAAACAGAACAUGCAUCAAAACACAGAUUUGAAAAUAAACUUCCCCCCAAAUUGCUCCCGAAUACCACAUCUAAAGGCAUCAAAUCAAAUUACAAUAAUCGCUACUCUGAACUACCCAAACAGUCGUUGAUUAGAGAUAACCAACCUGCGCACGUGUGCCCUUCCCCAAAAACAAAAACCUUGGGACCAUCUCCAGAUUAGUCAAAAUGAUACGCAGAAAUUAAUCGAAGGGAUCGGGAUCGAGAUGACCCUGGUUGGGAGUUAUGUUUCAAUAUUUUGUAUGAUCAAUAGAAAUAAAAUU